UCUCCAUCAAGCUUGGCUGUGGCUGGCUUUUCUUCACUGGGGGCAUCAGAUGUCUUUAAAAGGGAAACAGAAUACAAAAGGAGUAUGACGCAAACUAAUGGAAAGAGCUUUCGUUCGACUCCUGGAUCUUCGCGCUUAAGAACCAUUACAUCUCUAAAUGGAAUGAGUGUGUAACGAUCUUGAGAACUGUUGGAUCUUGACACGAUUUGCACUUCUGUCUUUCCAGAAUACAUCUUCUCAAUUUUAUGAGGGCAGAGAGAGGAAACAGCGUUUAUUUUUCAUUACUGAUCAGAUACUCCUAACAGUGAUUGUAAUUGGCAUUUUAAAAACUGUAGUGAUUAAAAAUUGAAUGAAUCUCAA